CUCGAUUAAAAGCUCUCGAAAUAGUAAGAAAAGAGGUCUGGGAACAGCUAAAAGAAACCUAUGUUGCUGGUGACACACUGGUGCCGCAUCAGUUUGAAGUAGGAGACGCAGUCCUGGUGAGGAGACACCGAGCGAGAAACCUAGAACCGAGGUGGAAGGGACCCUACUUGGUGCUACUGACAACGCCCACUGCGGUCAAAGUGGAAGGAAUCCCCACUUGGGUCCACGCAUCCCACGUCAAGAGAGCACCCCCUGGAGUCAGCCAUGAUGAGUGGACUUUGGAGAAGACUACUAAUCCUUUUAAGUUGCGCCUACUUCGUAGGAGCGAUCCCAAAAGACUUCAACCCCCACAGUCCUGUUCAACAAACGUGGGAGAACUGAUCCAAGCGCUACUGAGGACUGCUGGCUAUGCCUGUCCUCGGGUCCGCCUUUUUAUGAAGGAAUCGCCUUCAAUGGAAAUUUCAACAGAACCAGCAGCCAUACUUCCUGCUCUUGGGGUACAGGACAAAAACUGACCCUGACUGAAGUAUCCGCGAGGAAUCCAGGUCUCUGUAUAGGUACCCCACCUUCCACUCACAAACACCUAUGCGGACAAAUUCAGUCCGUGUCCAGAACGGAAGCUGAUUACUAUCUUGUACCUUCCCCGGUUGGAUGGUGGGCUUGCAAUACAGGACUUACUCCCUGUGUAUCAACUAAGGUUUUUAAUUCAUCUCAUGA